AAAAAAAAAAAAAAAAAAAAACUCUGAACGGAUCACCACAGCACCACAGAAGCUUUCUGUAGCCAGUUGUUCAUCUGUGAGUCUACUACUGGAACUGGGGACGAAGGCAAGACAACAGAACAUUAAAGAUGACUGCUGUUUUGAUGGCACAUGUCUUUACCUGGACAGUGCUGUUUUCUUCAGGCAUGGCCUCAACAUUUGCUGCUCCGCCGUGCGACCAGAACAUGUUUAACCUCAAUCUCUUCGACUGUGUGUCUGACUUUAACAAGAGCAUGGAAACGAGUGGUUAUCAGAAGAACUGUCCAUGGCCUGAAGUCAAAGGCAUCUACUUUAAGUUUUCGUCUUGCGUGGACAGCACGGCUGUUGGCAGCUGGUGCAAAGGUUACAAGUCUGUGGUAAAUGAGGUCUUCAUGGAGGUCCAUCAGAGAUACUUCCCCCUCUGCACGAACAUGCAGGACCCCCCAACCCUCUCCCUCAUCUUGAUGACGGCACCGGUUAUCAUUGCCACCUUCCUCCUGCCACUUCUUGUGUGUCCCCUCAUCACCAAGACAAGUGAGAAGAUAAAUGAUGUCAUGUAACCUGAUUGACUUUUUUGUAUUUAUGAAAAAAUGUGUCUAUCAAUUCAACCUAGUUUUUAUGUACGUAAAAAAAGACUUUCAUGGGUUUUUUGGGGGCUGUUUUUGCACCUCUAGCUGCAAAAUUGCAAAUUUAAUUUUUUUUAUUUGAUUGUCAGUUAAAAAGUCUUAGAAAUAAUAAACAACAAUACAAAAGUAAAAAAUUAAAAAAGCCAGAGUUUUAUGUUUAAAAGUAUUCGACUGUUUAAAAAAAAUAAAAUACUGUUAUAUUGGGGUUUUUUUGAAAGCCACAAAAAUCAAGAGUUUUGUGUUUGUCUAAGGUCUGUUGUGCAUCAAGGUUUUGCAAGCCAACAUAAUCUUGUAAAUGAUUCUAUGUGAAAGUCCAUCACUUUCUGGAACUCUGGAAUUCAUUCACAGCAGUUCAUGAUUUAAGGGCCAAAAUUACUUAAUUAAAUUACCCAAGCCAAUUUGAGGAUUUUUUAUUUUAUUACUCAUAACUUUUUGAGUCACUAUGCAAAUCAUUUAAAAAAAUUGUUUUUCACAUUUAUUUAUUUUUCAUUGUGUUUUUAUUUAUUUAUAGAAGACUUAACAAAUAUUAAAUAAUUGCUAAAGUUAGCUUCAGAUGCAAAGAUGAAGAAAAAAAGAUGGAACUGCAAUAUAAGUACCUAAUCUGAGAAAAUAAAAGAUUCCUGUCUUGUCUUUGGCCUCAGUAAUUUUUUAUGUCUGCAGAAAUAAAGACACAAGCAAAAGUCUUUCAAGAACUUGACCGUGCAACAGACACCCAUCGACAUCCAUAGAGUCCAUCAAUCCAUAUUUCAAGACACGGAUCCCCUUUUGUGGACUCAGGGUUACUGGAGCCUAUACCGGCCACUGUUGGUUGAAUUCAGGGUACACCGUGGACAGGUUGCCAGUUUCACCUUGUAGUCACCAUUAAAAACCAAAAAAACUGUAUUUAAGAAAACAAACGUUACUGUGACAAUGAUAACUCCCAACCUUUUUAGCAACACUGAAACCAUGGUCCGAGUGAAUACUUGAUUCUGAUUGGCUGCUGGGUGUGGAUUAAAAAGUGAUAAUCAACUGUGAUAAGGCACACCUAAAAAGGAAAUUCCUGUCACAUAGCUUAAAUAUUCUAUAUCACUGCACUGGCUUCUUUAAAUCAUUUUGCUUCAUCCUCUGGGCAAAAACAAGCAGUAAAGAGAAGAGGUGAACUUUCUCUUUGAACUAAUGCUUUAUUUAACCUAUGGUGACAAUCAGCAUAAAAAUAACUUUCCUUUGCAGCUGCAGUCCAGUCUGGUUCCGGCUAAGCGUCAUUGUCAUGUUACCGUGACAACGCGCCCCACCAAGUAACAAAUUGACUGCUUUUUCUGAAAAAAACAAACCAAACCAAACAAUUAACAAGACUAACGUACUAAAAAUUGGUUGGAUAUUUGCAUCGGCAGGUUCAGGUGUGUUAACUAAGGGUAAAUGGUCGACAAAGUGUGCAUUAUCACUUUUUAACGCACGCCAUGGAAGCCUGAACCUUCAGAUGCAAAGUGAUGAUGCACACUUCGAAGGCCUUUAACCGGCUCAUGCCGUGGUCACUUACAAAAUAAAUAAAUAUUAACCAGUUUUUAGUCCUUAAUUCUUGUUUUUUUCCGAUUUGGAUCGCUUUUUUCACGAAAAGCGGACUGUUUGUCAUGUGGUACGUUGCGUUGUCACGGUAACGUGAUCAGGUGCCGCAUCACUGCUGCAGUCAAGACUUGGCGAUAUAUAUAUGUAUCUAUGCUGAUCGUCCCGACGGGUUGAAUAAAGCAUCAGUUCAGAGAGAAAGUUCACCUCUUACCACUUGAUUUUGUCCAGACGAUGAAGCUAAAGGUUGUUUUAAAGAAGCCGGCGCUGUGAUACUGAAGAUUUAAGAUAGGUAACCGUAACUUCUAUUUUGGGCGUGCGGUUAUCACUUUUUGACACACACCCAGCAGCCAAUCAGAAUCGAGUAUUCACCUGGACCUUGGUAAAAUAUCUUAUAAUGCACACUUCGUCAGCCAUUAACCCUUACAUAAAAAAACAGCUACACGUUAGCCGCUUUAACGUGUUUAUAAUAACACCCAACCUUGUUUGGAACAAGAGUGACAUUUUGACACCUGUAUCUCUCAAAAUAACUUCAACAUCAGUAAACACAACCAGAAAUAAUCUAUAUAAUCCAUAAUAUUCCUGUACUAUAAGGGAUACUGUCAUAUAAAAAAAAAUUAAAACUUUUAAGUGUGGCGGGAAAUUAGAAUCAUUUUUUGCUGAGCAGUAAUGAGGUCAAUAAUUGAUAAUCGAUCGAUAAAUCAAAAAGAAAUGGAAUCUAUUGUUGAAAAUGUAUUUGGAUUUUUGAAGUAUUUGUAAUAGGAACUGUCACCUUGUGUUUUUAAAUUGGCUCUUAAAAUAGAAUAUUAUAACCCAUCCUAUUUUAAGGAUAAAGUUAUAUCUUUUUUCCAGGUUGUAACAAAACAUGCGAUUUUCCAAAUUUUUGAUCAGUUAACUAAUGGUUCGAUAUAGCAUGACGAAAACAGUUUUAUUUAAAGACAGAAUAAACCAUAUUAUGAUCUAUUGUUGAUCGAAUUUCCCUUAUGUAACAUGUUCAACGUCAGCCAAACUGCCGAGAGCCCAAAUCCAUGCCUCUAAUGCAAAACAGUCCAAGAUCACCAGAAGUCUUCAAUCAGGUCGUUGAUGGCAAAUUAGACCAGAUUCAAGAACAACAAAGCUGUGUCUUGGAUUUUGGUGGGUGGUCCACUUUGCUACCAUGGAGGUAGAAAGCGAUGAAAUGUGGUGAACUCACAACGUUGACAUGGCUGAACCUCAGGUCGGGUCAAAGCGUCUCCUUUUUUCAUCUCGUGUGUAUUUAAACAUCUAAAGCUCAGACAGUGUGGAGUGGCAGCACCACACCUUUUAUUAUGUUAAAUAAUACCCAGAGUUUUUGCUCUUUCUCUUGUGUAAAUACUGGAGGGAUGUUUUGCUAGUGAUAUGUUUGCAGGUUGUGUCUCGGUUAACUCUGGCUGAGACAUUGCUUCUUCAUUGCAGAAUGACUGGUCUAACAUUCAACAGACUCCUGUUAUUUGAUAACAUUGAAAUAGCAUUAACACAGUGUGUUCAAAUGUAAAAGAUUUUGUUAAUUGAAAAUUAAAAUAUUGGUGUGACAU